UGCGUUUCUCAGCCUUUUGGCUAAGAUCAAGUGCAGUAUCUGUUCUUAUCAGUCUGCCUUGACUUGCUGGCUCAGGUCCUUUGGGUACCCCCAGCACUCUGCCUUUGAGCAUCGUUGAUUAAAUUCAGAUUUAGCUCACUGCUGCUAUUGGGUGUAGGGCUAUUCCCCUAGGAACAAGAGUGUUCUAGCCUCU